rnacentral:rRNA from 1 species
ACAAGCCUGAGAAACGGCUAGUAGGACUAAGGUCUGCAGCAGGCGCGAAACUUACACAAUGCUAGAUUACAAUUAGCGAUGUAGUGAAGAAAAAUAACGAUGUACUUCCAUUUAAACAUGGUAGUACAAUUGGAAUGAGACGACUAUAAAUGAGUUAGUCGAGUAACAAAUGGAGGGCAAGUCUGGUGCCAGCAGCCGCGGUAAUUCCAGCUCCAUUAGCAUACAUUAAAGUUGUUGCGGUUAAAAAGCUCGUAGUUGAAUUUUAGGCGGGCUCUAUUGGGAUGCAAUCGUUAAGGUCUCUAUGAUUAAAUUUUCGCAAUUUGUCUAGACGACUGGUUGUAACUGCCCUAUAGGAACCCGCUGUUUCGUCACUUAAUCGAGUGCGAAGCGGGCUGGUACAAGUUUGCUUAAUUGCAUCUUUGUUUCAGCAUGUUUACCUUGAGAAAAUUAGAGUGCUCACAGCAGGCAGUUGGGGUGUAAAAGCUCCUUUAAUGCUUGAAUAAUGUUGCAUGGAAUAAUAGAAUACGGCCUCGGUUCUAUUCUGUUGGUCUUAUAGAACAACAAACAAGUUGGUUAAGGCGACCAAAAGUCCAUUUGUGAGUGUGGGCUACGAUAUAUUUGAGUCAGUUUGUAUGAUAGUUCUUGUUGUCUUUGGAUAAAACCUUAGUACCCUAGCUACUUAUAUUAAACCCUCUAAAUUGUCUAGCUCAUUUAAAGCAUUCCUUAUGUGGCUAGCCUUCUAAUCAACUGAGGCAAUGGUUAAAAGAAUAGUCGCGGCGGCAUCAGUACUGCAUCGUGAGAG